rnacentral:lncRNA from 1 species
UUAUUAUUAUUAGUCAGUCAAUGUCACUAAUUAUAUGGUCCCUCACCUAAAUCUAAACGAGAAAAAUAUUUAUUAUUUAUCCGUAAAAAGUUGAUGUAGACCAUACACCACUUUGCUCAUAUUACUAGAAUAGUCAAAUUUUGCCAAAAGCAUGUAAACACAUUUUGAAGGGUUGAAUCAUGAAUAUUGAAUACUCACCGGUUCUCUUAAGUCAUUUAUCUGAUUAUGGAUAUUUUUGUUUAAGUUUCCAAAUGAAAUGAUAAAUUAUUAAUAAUUAGUUUACUCAAUGGCAAUAUGUGUCAAAAAUCAUUUGUUAUUUUCCAAAAUCGUUCACUCAUAAUUAAAUUAUUUUAUUCUUUACACCAUUCCCAUUAAUCCUUACAUGAGACAGAAAAAUUAAAGUAUAUAAGAGUAUUUUUGUCAGUAGAUAGUUAAUGUAUAAUGUGUCUCAUAAAUAAUUGACAGACAAAUAUUAAAAAGAAAUAUUAUAUUAUAUUAUAUUUAAUGAUGGAGGAAUUACACUGCAAUACGAAGGUGACGAAAUAAAUUAUGCGAUAAUAAUAUUGUAGAGGAGAUUAAAUAAAAAAGCUUACAUGCAUAGAGAUAUGGUAAAUCGACCACUAUCUAAGAGUGGUAAGGAGGGGGUGGAGAUGCAUAGAUGUAACUGUGAACUGGUGGUGGAGGAGAGUGAUAAACUGGGUGUGGAGUGUAGGGAGGAUGAACUGGUGGAGAGUGGUAAACUGGUUUUGGAGUGUAAGGAGGGUGAACUGGUGGUGGAGGGGAUGAGUAUUUGUAUGGCUUCUUUGGUGGUGGUGGAGAGUGGUAGUAGGGCUUAGGGCUGACGUGAUGCACUGGUGGAGGAGGAGAGGAAUAUUUGUAUGGCUUCUUUGGUGGUGGUGGGGAAUGGUAGUAAGGUUUAGGGCUUAACAUGCACUGGUGGUGGAGGAGAAGAAUAUUUGUAUGGUUUCUUUGGGGGUGGUGGAGAAUGGUAGUAAGGUUUAGGGUGGACAUAUGGUGGAGGAGGAGAAGAAUACUUGUAAGGUUUCUUUGGUGGUGGUGGUGGUGAACUGUAAUGGUAGGGAGGAGGAGGUGUAUAAACGGUGGGGGUGGAGAGUGGUAGUAGUAUGGUUUCUUAGGUGGUGAGUACACUGGUGGUGGUGGUGAAGAGUAAUGGUAAGGUGGUUUAACUGGAGGGUACACCCCCGGUGGUGGGGAAUGUGGAGGGUACACCUUAGGUGGUGGUGGAGAACUAUAAUGGUAAGGUGGUGAGACUGGUGGAUACACCUCAGGUGGUGGUGAAUGUGGAGGGUAUUUCUUAGGUGGUGGUGGGGAAGAGUAAUGGUAAGGUGGUUUAACUGGUGGGUACACCUUGGGUGGUGGUGAAUGUGGAGGGUACACCUUAGGAGGUGGUGGUGAAGAGUAAUGGUAAGGUGGUGAAACUGGAGGAUACACCUUAGGUGGUGGUGAAUGAGGAGGAUACUUCUUAGGUGGUGGUGGUGAAGAGUAAUGGUAAGGUGGUGAAACUGGAGGGUACACCUUAGGUGGUGGUGAAUGUGGAGGGUACACCUUAGGUGGUGGUGGUGAAGGGUAGUGGUAAGGUGGGGAAACUGGAGGGUAGACCUUAGAAGGUGGAGGAGGUGAAGAAUACAAGUAGCUGUUUGCUGAAAUUUGAGAUGUAUGGAGAGAGACACUAUUAUGGCUAAUAGAAGAGUCAAAGUGGCAGAGGCCAUUGGAGACCUCAUUUUUUUUUUUUU